rnacentral:rRNA from 1 species
AUUGAACGCUGGCGGCAUGCUUUACACAUGCAAGUCGAACGGUAACAGGUUAAGCUGACGAGUGGCGAACGGGUGAGUAAUGCAUCGGAACGUGCCCGGUCGUGGGGGAUAACGCAGCGAAAGUUGCGCUAAUACCGCAUACGAUCUGAGGAUGAAAGCGGGGGACCGUAAGGCCUCACGCGAUCGGAGCGGCCGAUGUCAGAUUAGGUAGGUGGUGGGGUAAAGGCUCACCAAGCCAACGAUCUGUAGCUGGUCUGAGAGGACGACCAGCCACACUGGGACUGAGACACGGCCCAGACUCCUACGGGAGGCAGCAGUGGGGAAUUUUGGACAAUGGGCGAAAGCCUGAUCCAGCAAUGCCGCGUGCAGGAAGAAGGCCUUCGGGUUGUAAACUGCUUUUGUACGGAGCGAAAAGGUCUCCUCUAAUACAGGGGGCUCAUGACGGUACCGUAAGAAUAAGCACCGGCUAACUACGUGCCAGCAGCCGCGGUAA